AUACAUCUAUCAUCUAUCUACAUAUCACUAUAUCUAUCUAUGCAUGUACACCUACAUAUCAUCUAUAUAUCUACAUAUCUGUCUGUGUCUAUAUCUGGGUCUAUGUGUAUGUCUGUAUCUCUAUCUAAUCUCUCACAUGUGCUCAUGUAGGUGGGGAGUCCAAAGGUUUGAAUCCAGAGGCUUCCUAGUAGGAGCACCCCAGGGAUCCGGCUGGCUGUAGCUGCCUCUCUGGCACUAGGCACUUGGACUACUUGCAUCACUAUGCUUGGCUUUUGAUAGGAUUAUUGGUUUUCCAAACUCAGGUCCCUAGUGAGGCAAGAACAUUAACAUCUGCUGUGUCUCCCUAGACACACAAGAAUACCUCCCGAGUGAGACGGGAUAAUUAUGGGCAGCCUUACAUCUAAACAAUCACUCAAAUUAUUUGUAACCCAUUAGCAUUUUCCUAAAUAUCCUGACCGCAUGCAGGAUUUGGACAUAGACAUUUAAAGAAAAAUGGAACUGGAAGUCGCAACAGGGAUUGCCUGUUCAUUUUAAUGUCCCGGAUGUGAAUCGAUACCUCAGCGAGCUUCUGAUUCAUCGCAUACCAUGGAGUGACCCGGGGGCCUUUCAGCACUCCAACUCGUAUCCAGCUUGCUUGCCUUGGCUUGGGAAAGAAAACCACAGCUCACUGCUCUCCUCAACACACUCUGCAAGAAGACGAAAGGAGACUGGGUGAGAGAAAAAUAUUCCCGACAGCAUGGCCUCCAUUUAGAAAGCCCGGGAGCAGUGAGGGGGUAAUGAGUCUUGACUUCUGACACUGUUAAAGAUGGUGUCUCCAGUUUCUCUCCAUUUCUCACCUUAUUCAAAUAGGGGAGGGAUGAGGAGGAAGGGGGAAGUUUGGCAUGAAAUCCACCUUGGAGACGGAAAAUCAUAUUUGAAUAAAGGUGCCCCAUUGACAAGUCUCCUAGCAUUUGCUUUGGGGACUGGCUACAGCCUUAUUAGUUGGCUCACAGAAACUGGCAGUUUGGAAGGGAGCGAGGAGGGCUGGCUAUGCUUCAUCUGCAGCAUGAGUGUAAGAGAAGAAGGUAGAAGGACAUGACAUUGGUACAUGCUUUUAGUGGGAUAGAGGUACACGUGGAGGAAACCAAGAGAGGGAUGUUUAUGUCCUAGAGAGGUCAGAGGUUCAUAAUGGGGCUCCUCCCAGCUUCUAGAGCCUGGAGUCUAGCCAGGUAUCUACAUAGAUCUCUCUUGAGGUAUGUUCUAGCCCAGGCUAUUUUGGAUUUUCAGUAGACUCAAGGGUCCUAGACCUAUUUUAUCAUGUUCUCAUUAAUUAAAAACAAGAAAGUAUGAAGAUAGUGAAAACCACGUGGAAAAUAAAAAAAUCUUACUUCCUAGUUGUAAGGAAGCUAUUCAUUUAUGAUAGAUCAUUUGUCAGAGGAAGAGAGAAAAAUGGGAAGCCAGAGAAUGGAAGUCCUGGAAUGGACCUUGUUCUCUGUCUUCCCUGAUGAUGUGCCUGGCACUGGGCUGAGGGCAGAGGCCGGGGUAUGAUGGGAUAUGUUCUGUCGGAGCUAGCUCAGAGGAAAUGGGGAGCUACCAGCUCCUCCAGUGAGACUGGGAAACCUAGUGUAGCAGGUCUAAGUCCGCAUACUAGAAAACUACCCAAGCCAUCUGCAUCCAUCUGGAAUUUGGUUCUCUUCAAAGUACAGAGCCUUCUCCUGAUUGCUUCCCACGGAGACUUUUCUUUUAAAGAACUAUAAAAAAAAACGUCAUUUUUUUCAUGGACUUCAUUUUUUUUCUUAUUAGGGAACUCAUCCUAGGAAACAACAUUUAUUCAUGUAUUGUAAGAUGAUACCAUGAAUAAACUUGGCCCGUAUUGAACUGUGUGCGCAUGUGUGCACACAUGUGUACACAGUGCAUAAGCCGGUGUAGCCUUGCCAAUGUGGAGAACAGAGGUUGACGGUGGGUACAAAGUAGCUCUCUCCACUUCACUUUUUGAGACAUGGCUUCCCACUGAACCUAGAGCAUGCUGAUUUUGCUAAACCGAUCAAAUCCACCUGUCUCUGACCCCUAGAGCUGAGGUUACAGAUGCACCAUUGUGCCUGGCUUUUGUAGGGAUGCUAGGGAUUCCAACGCAGGUGCUUGGACAGAAAUUCCUCCAUUCACUGAGUGAUCUCCCUAGACCCCACCCUACUUUUUGAGACAGGGUCUCUCACCGACCUGUAACUCAGCAAGGAGGUUAGGUUGGCUCACCAGCAAGGGUGUGGCUACACGUGCACAGCAGUACUGGGAAGGGGAGAUGGUCUUGGAAAGAGAACUGCUACGAAAGCCUUCGUGGAGACUGGCAGGAGGAGAGAAGCCAGCUAUGUAAUGCUACUUAAAACCAAGUCAUUUCAGAAAGUAAUCUACAAAUUUAUGCCAUUGAUGAAAAGGAGACAGGAAUCACCCAGAAGGAGCGGGAGACUGGAAAAGGAUGCUAAGGAUGGGGAAAUGCACCUGCAGAUGUGGGUCACCGAUAUCCAUGGGAGGAAGACCGGGGCCCUGACUCUGUUUAGAUGUCUUACAGAGCUGAUGGGAGAAAUAUGACUUUAGGUAACAGAGAUGCUCAAUGUAUUUCCCCCAGUCUCAGGGUUCCCAACUUGAGAGCCUUCUGGGUUUCACCCUCUGACUCACAUCCCUGACUCAUUCCUGUAGCUCCCUCAAGCAGAGGGGCUGCUUGGCAGGUCUCCUCACUGCUCAGCCGUGGUGAUGAGUGUGUCUGUCUCUAACUCUGCCAGUCUUAUUAUUUUAAAUUGGUGCUUUUUCUUCAGAUGGGUGUUUUGCUUCCAAAUCAGCUCCUUCUUCUUGGUGGUGUCAUAAUAACAUUGAGAGAAGCAACAUCUGCUGCCGUUUAUUGAGCUUUAAAUAUGUACCAGGUGCCGUGUGAGGGGGCUCAGAAUUUGGCAGCUAGCAACUUAGACUCUGUCAGAUUGCUGAUUCCAGUCUUGCUUCUAGAAUUUACUGGUUAUGAGGUCCAAGGACAGAAAAAUCUAGGCCUUAGUUUUUCCAUCUGUAAAAUGGGCAUGGUAUUAUUUCCUCACCCAUAAAAAAGUUGUGUGUAAGUGUGGAGGGUGUGUGUGUGUGUGUGUGUGUGUGUGUGUGUGUGUGUGUGUGUAGACUGCUGUCUGUAAGCAGGUGAGGGCAGGUGAAAAAUAAGGCUAGAGUCUGUGAUUGGGCAGUGGAAAAAGAAGGCGGGCUGAGAAUUUUAGAGACGAGUACAGAGAGACAGAGGGACAGAGGGGGAGACAAAGAGGAAGAGACAAGAUGGAACCUAUAGGAGAGGAAAAGGAGCCAGAGCCACACUGUCAUGGGAGCCCUAAGUAUUGGUGAUUUCUUAGAUAGAUGAUUAAUUAAUAAGUAGGAUGUGUUCGCCCCAUCUAGGUGUGUAGUUUGUGUUUAUAUCAAUUGAGUUUUGAGUUCAUUGUGCAGGGGUUUUGUGGGUUGAGAAUUUACUAAUAUAAAUCUGACUGAUAUAUUACAAGCCUCUAGAGUUUUGAUUUUGCCUGGUUAUGGGGAUUUGUGACAGCUAACCACAGGGGGCAGAUGGCUGGGGAAUGUGAGCAGAACCUACUGCAAGAGAACAGCAGGUUGGGUGGCCGCUGCACAGAAACCCUGGUGGCGAGGGGAGCCUUCAUACUAGAAAUUAGUUAGGUGCUAGAGUGGGUGCCUUGAUGUUUUUAUAUAUUUCACGUAACGUGUGUGUGUGUGUGUGGUGUGUGUGUGUGUGUGUGUGUGUGUGUGUGUGUGUGUGUGUACUUGUGCACAUGCAAAGGCCAGAAGUCAAAUCAUGUGUCUUCCUUAACCACUAAUUUACCUGAUUUGUUCAGACAAGGUAUCUUACUGAAUCUGGAGUUCACAGUUUGGCUAGGCUGGCUGGCUAGUGAGUUUCAGGACUUCUCCUGUCUCCUUGCUCAGGGAAUGAUAACUCCCUACAGUGGGUUGAGUCUUGUCAUAUCAAUUAAUGAUCACAGUAACCACAUAAAUAUACCCACAGGCAUAUAGGCAAUGUCUUAUUAACAAUCUCUAUUCCAAGGUGUCAAACUGGCACAACUCCAUAGUGUGCUACACUCUAUGUAUGUCACUCUAUCAUGUGACAUAGUCUCGUGAUUGUAAUUUCUAGGACAUGAGUUUUUGAAUGAUUGUUUUCUAUAAGAAAAGAUAGAAACUAUUAGGCCAUUCUAAUCAAUGCCAAUGUGCAUGAUAGGAGAAAAAUCAAUUAAUCUGAUAAUUUAUACCAGUGUUAUUUUCCUGAGCUUUUAAGUCAUUUGACCCUGGAGUCUUCAAGCAGUCUACUUGUGACUAUUUUCAAAAACACACUGGCUUGCAUCACUGAAAAUGUAUUACUGAAGGUGGGGUCUGAGUGUUUAAAUGAUGAACCAAGUGUUCAGACAAGAUAGAUUAUUAAAUGUGUGCAAACCACGUGGUGAGCACCUCACAUUUUGCUCCCACACAGUUCUCUAUUCACACAAUGCCAGUCUAAGACUGAUAUUCACAAAUAUUUAUUGACUACCUAUUGAUUUUAUAUAUAUAUAUAUAUACAUAUACAUACAUAUAUAUGUAUACACAGACACACAGACACAGAUAGACAGAUAACCCCCAUCUCUCUCUUUCUCUCUCUCUAUUAUCUGUCUGUCUAUCUAUCUAUCUAUCUAUCUAUCUAUCUAUCUAUCUAUCUAUCUAUCAUCUAUAUUUAUCUAUCUACCUAUCUAUCCAUCAUCUAUCCAUCCAUCCAACUAUCUAUCUAUCUGCAGAGAGAGUAUUUAUUUACUUGUCUAUCUAUGAAUGUAUAUGUCCAUGACAUAUGUGCAGAUGUCAGGGACAACAUGUAAGAGUUGGUUCUCUCCUCCUACCAAAUAUUUACUGGGGAUCAAGUCAGGUCUUUUCCUUCAGAGUUAUCAUCCUGGGCUCGCCACAUAUUAUAUUCUGAUUAUAGCUUUUUCACAAUUCUUGAGGGAAAAGAAACAAAAACCCUCUACUUCCCAUGUGAAGUGGAAACCUCUAGUUUCUUUGGAAAGUUCGUUAUGUCUAGAGAUGGUUUUCUGGGGCACACAGGUGAAAGGAUAUCUCACUAAAGCAAGCCUAUGAAAGGCUGUUUUCCUGAAGCAGGCACAGGUGAAAGGAUGUUUGGCUGUAGCAAACGCGUGAAGGUCGCUUGAUGAAGGAGUAUAAAUAUGACCCCACAGACAGUGGGAGAGGAGCACUGAGCAUUGGUGUGGCUUGCCCCACCUCCCUACUCUUUGCUGACAACAUGUGUGUAUUGGUUCACCUUCUGUAGCGAUGUUGAGCUCAACUCGUGGCAAUGCUGUGAUUGAGAGAAACUCACCAAGAACUGCCCGUGAGGCUCCUGUGGCAGCGUGUUGCUUCUGCAGCCUCACCUCACCCUGGUUGGUGAGCCUGGCAGUUUCUUCAGGAUUGAACAACAGCUGCCGGUUCAUGCCUGGUGUCUGCCUGCCCAGAGGACUUGUCCGCAGCUGAUUUGUAUUUGGUGUUUGCUAUGGGAUCGAACUGCUGAGAAAGAAGAUGGAGCUCACCCCCAAAGAAACAUUGCUGAACAGGUCUGCUUCCCCCACAUCCUACCUCUGCUGCAUGGUGGGCUAGAGGAGAGCUUGAACCCUUCUUAAAAAUAGGUUGCAAAAAUUUGAUGCCUACAGAUGUGGUUUUAAUGGUCAUGUUUUGGACUCACUGUAAAUUCUCCUCAGCAGGGAUGGGUGUCUUUCAAUCACUCUCCCACCACCCUGUUCAAGGUCUGAUUCUCCUCAGGAAGCCCAUGGGAGGGAACAUUGAAGUAAGAGUAGUAGUUACCAGUACUAACUUAUCUUCCCCUUCCUCCAUACACCCUGACGUUUAUUAGAAUCCUGUGUGUCUCUCCCUUUUGGCUCAAAGCGCUUGGUAAUCUGUGGGGGCUCACAAGGCUCAUGUUCAUGGGCUUAGUGAUGACCAUGGUAAUGACAGAACUCACUGCACACAACUCCUCUUAGAGAGGACUCAGAGGGAAGAUGGGAAGAGAGUUGGAAAGUGGGAAGAUAGAACGAGGCUUAUUAGAUGGUUUUAUAGUGUUCUCUUCUCCUGGAAAACUUAAAACAGUUUGUGUGAGAGCGGGGUUAACUUAAACAUUUUAACCUGUCAGUCACAGUAUGUUUGUUGAUCCAAGAUGGGCAGAUAGGGGGAGAAUUAUUAGGGGGGGAAAGCCCUUACCCCAUCUCGGUUAUCUUGGCAGUAAUUUCAGGACUAUGUUUUCCAACCUGGCUAAGUAACCCUGAGAAAAUAAAUGCACGGCGGGCCAUGUGUGUAUCUAAUAUUCUUUAAUUUGUUUAUGGCAGGAAUCACUGGCUCUUCUUACCCCCUCCGACAGCCACUGUCUCCAUUCCCUCUCAUCGCUGGUUUUAUGCCUAUCCAUCCUCCUCUGCCAUCUGACCUUGUCUUUCUGAGGCCAUUACAUUGUAAAGAGAGGGAAGAGGCAGCCAUGGGAAAUCAAGAGCCAGCUUCUGGAGAGGUCUUGGUUUCUGGAAUGAUCCUGGAAGUGUUGAGGUGCAUUUCCUUGGCUGGUCUUGACUGUAUCUGGCAGGACCGGGGCAGCAUGUUGGUAUUUUCAGGGAAGAAUCCAAAAUCUUCCUAACUCAGGGAUGGGACUUUCAUCCUGUUUCUGUCCUUGCUGCUUAGAUCUAGGGAUCUUAUGCAUGCUAAACUCAACAUUUCCCUGGAGCAGCCUUACUUAGGUUCACCAUAGGAAGGGGGCUGUAAGACUAUUAUUGGUUCUAAACUGAGAAUCAGCAAAACCAUUGCAGCAGCAGCAGCAGUAACAACAACAACAACAACAAUAAAAUAACCAAGAACAGGAACUCCCUUGUAUUACUUUUCCAUGACAACAAUAUGACCAAGACAGCAUGUGGAAGGAGAGUUUAUUUGGGCUUACAUCUGCAGAGGCCACAAGAAUCCCUCACAGCAGGGAGGCACAGCACUGGGCCAGCAUAGCUGCAGGAGCAGGAAGCUGAGGACUCCCAUCUUAUCCCCAGCACAGAACAGAGAGAGGGAACUUGAAAUGGCAUUCUUAAAACCUUCCCCUAGUGACAUACAUCCUGCAGCAAGGCCACACCUCCUUAACCUCCCCAAACCACACCAUCAACAGGGGACCAAGUGUUUAAAUGCUCGAGAGACUAUGAGGGAUUUGCUUUAUUCAACUUCCACACCCCUGACACUCUGUCUCUCUGUCUCUGUCUCUGUCUCUGUCUCUCUCUCUCUCUCUUUCUCUCUCAGUGUGUGUGUGUGUGUAUGUGCUUCAUGUAUGGAGGCCAGAGAGCAAAUUCAGCUGUUUUUAAUCAGGCACCACUUACUUUGUUUCUGGGACUGUCUCUCACUGGCCUGGACUCACCAAGUAGGCAAGUCUGAAUGGCCAGAUUACCCAGAGGUCUUCCUGAGUACACCUCCCUAGCACCGGGAUUAUGAGCACAGGAAACCAUACCAAGUUUUUCUUAUACCAAUUCUUGGGUUCUGAGAGCUGAAUUCAGGUUCUUGUGCUUGGAAAUGCUUUAACAAUUGCGCCGUUGUUCCAGCCUGUGGUUCUUGAGGGAUGAUCUUGGGCUCCUGGGGAGAAAGUGUGGCACUUGGCUCUGUCCAAGUCAUUAUACACAGGGUUUUAGGUGGCCCUUGUGAGAUAUAAGUGACAUGUGACUAGCCCUAGACUGUAAAUUAGGAUGGUCCUGUCUUCUCUCCAUGCCACCUUUCUCAGAAGAAUGGCUAUAUUUUUUCUGGAUCCUGAAGCUGUUGGGCCGGAUGAUCCAAUGAUUGGAUUAAUGGCUCACAAUGUGAGGUGUGCAUUAGAGAGCCUUUUCCUUGUUAUGCUCUGAAGGACAUGGUUUAUUAGGAGAGCACCACACCGAGGAAGAGAAAGCUCACUGCAGCAAUAGCCUUUGGGAUUUGUUUGAAUACAAUCCAUCUUACCAAUACCGCAUAGAUGUGGCUUGCAACACUGGAACAGUUGGGGAUUUCCAGGUCAGCUAUUUAGCCUGGGAGUUCAAUAGCUCCCCCUGUGAUCACCUCUGGCUCCUGUGCUUAGUGUCGAGGGGGCAAAAAACUAGCGAUUCAUAUGUGUAUGUGAACACUUGUCUUCUCAACGAUGUCUCUAAUAAAAAUAUUUUGAAGAUUAGGAGACCCCUUAGUUCAUUUUCAGUGUCACUGAAAUAGAAUAUCCCAACAAAGCAACUUAAUGUAGGCAAGGGUUUGUUCUGGUUCACAGUUCGAGGCUACAUCUCAUCAGGGUGAUGAGGCCUGAGGCACCCAGUCACAUUACAGCCACAGUCAAUAAGCAGAGAUCGAUGAGCGAAUACUGCUUUGCUCAGGUCCCUUUCUCUGCUCAUACAGUCCAGGGUUCCUGGAGACAUUGGCAACACCCACAGUGGGCAGCUUUUCACUCCUCGGUUAAAGCAAACAAGAUAACCCCCAACAGGCAGGCCCAGAAGUCCAGCUCUCAGGUGACUCAAUAUUUUGCCAAGUUGAUAGUUGAUACCUCAGAGGAGAGUCAGGUUAUGGGAUCAGAGCCUGCCCUACCUAUCAUAAAUAAUACAUAUUACCUAUUAUCUUCUGAUUCUAAAAUAUUGUGUGUGUGUGUGUGUGUAUGCAUGUUCAUGGUAUAUUUGUGUGGCUUCAUUGUACUUCUGUGCAUUAGCAUAUGCAUGUAUGUGAAGGUCAGAGGUCAACCUUGGGUAUCAUUCCUCAGGAGCUGUCCAUCACAUGUUUUGAGAUAGGGUCUUCCAUUGGCCUUGAGCUCAUUGAUUAUAGGAUAGCCCGGGUGUCCAGCAAUCCCCGGGGAUCUCUCCCUCUCUGUCUCUCCAAUGCAGAAUUUACCAGUUGAAACCACCAUUGUGGUGGCUUCUAAUGCUGCUGCUCCUGUAUUGCUGUUGCUUUUAAAUGUGCUCUGGGUAAGGAACUCAGGACCUCAUGCUUGCACUCUUCUGAUUAAGCUGCCUAUAAGAAUGAGCAGAGGUGAUUGAACUUGGUGGAGAAUGAGCCUUUUCAAGGUAUUGUGUGACUUUGGUAGGGUGUGGAGUGCAGAGAGACAGGAAGGAGCAGCUCAUAGCUUCCAGCUAAAAGAAGCAGGAGGUGGGGGGGGGGACCAUGUAAGGAACUGUAGCACACAGUGAUAAAAGUGACAGCAGAUAGGUUUCCAGUGAGCCAUGUGGCAGGUGUUACAUGGUCCCACACAUCAGCCAUGUCCACACAGCUUACAUCAUAUCCCCACAAAUCCCAAAUAUUAACAAGUGCCAGAGAAGCACUGCACAGAUUCAGAGUCUUCAGAGAUCUGCUAGAGCUUAAGGGAAAUGUAGCUCCCAGGAAGCUGGGGCUGUCAACUUGACACGACCUAGAGUCAUCUGAAAAGGGAGUCUCAACUGAUGGGUCACCUAGAUCAGACAGCUAACUGGGCAGUCUGUGGGGCCUUAUCUUGAUUGCUAAUUGAUAUGAGAAGGCCAGGCCACUGGGCAGGUAUUCGUGGGAGGUACUAAGAAAGCUAGUUUAGUGUGGGUCUCCAAGUAAGCCAGAAACAGAGUUCCUCCAUGAUUUCUGCUCCAGGUUCCUGCUUGAAUUCCCGCCCUGACUUCCUGCACUGGUAGACUGUGACUUGUGAACUGAAUUAAACCCAUUCAUUUAAGUGGGUUUUGACCAGAGUAUUUUAUCACAGCAGCAGAACGGGAACCAGGACAGUGUGAGAUUAGGCGUUUGAGCACGAACAAUGGAGAGUGAGACACAUAUUCAUUCAGUCGCUGUUUCUCCAUUCACUGUGUGUGUGCGCACGUGCGCAUGCGUGUGUGUGUGAGAGAGAGAGACAGAGAUACACAUGCACACAUACAGAAACACACACAGACACACACACACAGAAUCACACACACAGAGAGAUACACAUACAGAGUCACACACAGAGAUACACACACAGAGAUGCACACAGACACACACACACAGAGACAGACACAGAGACACACAGAGACAAACAGAGACACACACAGACACACACAGACACACACACAGACACAGACACACACACAGACACACACAGACACACACAGACACACACACAGACACACACACAGAACCACACACAGAGAGAUGCACAUACAGACACACAUAGAGACACACACACAGACACACACACACACACAGACACACAGAGACACAGAGAGACACACACACAGAGACAUGACACACACAAAGAGAGAGACACAAACACAGAGAGAGAAGGGAGAAGGGAGAAAGGAGAGAAGGUAUUGGGGACUGAUCAUUCUCUAGCUAACUUUAUUUAUUUUUGAUAAUCUCUUUUAUCCUAUUGAGGGUCUCAUACAAGUAUAUAAUGUGUUUUGAUCAAAUUCAGCCUUUGCCCCUGUAAGUCCUUUCUUAUCUACCCACUACUUUCUCCUUCCAACUUCAUGUAUGUACUCUUUUUUUUUCUUUUUAAACCCAUUUAGUCAUCUUAAUGCUGCUUGUAUGUUCCUGUGUGUAGGACUGUCUACAUGCAUGGGUAGCUUUGCAGAGGUGACCUUCCCAUAAUUCCUCAUGUAGCAGCAGGACUUCAUCAGUGCCCCCUUCAUCCAUGCUGGGACUUUGGCAAGCAUGACUUGUUGCAGAUGAUCUUCAUGCAGUCCCACUCUCUGUCAGCUCAUGCAUGCAGUGUAUACAGACUGAGUCCCACAAACAUUGCUUUGCAUCUGUGUUGAUGUCUGCUCCCUGUGGCUUUUACCGUCUUUCCACUCCUUCCUCCAGGGUGAUCGCCAAGCUUCAAGAGGAGGAGAACUGAUACAGACGUCCCAUUCAGAGCUGGGAACUCCAGUCCCUUAUUCUCUGCACACUGACUGGUUGUGAAUCCGUGUUAGUCAAUGUCUGCUUCAAAAGCAGUUUCUCUGAUUGGGGCUGAGAUGAGAACUUAGGGAGUGGAUUGUUACUAUGUCCAUUUAGCAGAACAACAGAACUAGGUCUUCCCCUAGGGCCUAGGACCUAGUGUCCCCAAGACUUAGAGGAGGGACUUUUGGAAAAGUUAGAGAAUUUCUUUGGGCAAAGGGCAUUUCUUUUAAAGGUCCAUCCUUCCAAAAUAUGGCAUCUUCCCCUGGACAUGUGACUCAUGUUUCAUGUGACAUUGUACAUAUAUGAAGCGAACCAUCUAUUCCAAUGUCUUCUUACAAGCAGGUGGUCCUCAGGAAGGUAUCGCUCAUUAAAUUCUACUUAUAACUUGGACAGAGAUAAAGGAUCCAGAAUGGAGAGCACUUCUAAUUUUCCUCAUGUAGGCUAUGAGGGAUUGAUAAUAGACACAUCUUGUGUUAUGUAAAAGGACUGUGUGAUUUACAGUAUAUGGGUGCAUGAAUGCAUGCUGUGUGAUAUAUGCCUGUGUGGCAUAUAUGUAGAUGCACAUGCAUGUGCAUGGGGAGGAGAAAGGCCAUUUGGACUCCAGCUCCUUUCCUCUUGAUGCACAGUGUCUCACUAAGCCCAGAGCUGUUUGGCAGCUAGCAAGUCCUGGCGAGCCUCUUGCCUCCAGAGAAGAUAUAGGUUCAUGUGAAGUCAUGACUGGCUUUCUACCUUGGUUCUGCCAUCUUGAAACUCAAGUCUUGAUGUUUGUGAAGAAAGCGCUCUAACCCACUGAGCCCUCUUCCCAGCCCCAACUCUCAGCUUUUGAAUUAAGUGCAUGCACAUGGUUGUUGCUGCAUCCCCUGCUAGAAGUGCUGGCUGGCUAGUUCCUUCCUGGCAGAGAGACUUCCCCCUCUUUCCACCUGGAAGUACUUGAGUGUGUUAGUCAUUAACCCCUCCCUCCCCUGCCAGUGGGCUUACAUGUCUUCUUGCCCGUAAUAUUUUAAAUGUCUCCUACACUCUUUGCCAAAUCCCUACAAUAAUUUCAGCAAAAGAAAAGAUGUCCAGGAGGGAGAAAAUAGAACCCACAGAACUACCCUAAAUUCCAAAGCAAUAUAAACUCCAGGAGUCACAAUUACUGCGCACACCCUCUACGUCAUUUGCUGGACCACAGUAUUUUUCUUCCUCAAUAAACCUUGUUUUAAAAAGAGAAAAAUUUUCUGUUGCUGAAGACAUUUUUAAAAAGAAAUUUUAUUAUCAUUAUUAUUAUUAUUAUCAUCAUCAUCAUCAUCAUCAUUAUUAUUAAUCUAAAGUCUCUCCCGAAAAUCAUUUUCUUUCAGGAGUUAGGGAAUCCCCUAAGUGUUGCUAACUCUGCCACAACAUACCUUUCUGUGCCCUCUUUUUCUCCAUCCAAAGGCAGCUUCAGUUUACAUUAAUUCCACUAAAAUUGGAAAAUCAUGCUAACUGUAUUGGGGACAGGUGAUGGUUCCCAUGUGGAAAGACAGAAGCCCCAAGAAGUGAGCUUGCAAAUUCUCAGGUUUUCUUACUUAUGUCCUCAGUUGGCAGUUUGGCCUGAGUCCUGGUGUUCUUUUUGUUUCUGUCCUUGAGGCUUCAGCCCUGGGUUUGGAAAGAAUCCUCUGUUAAGUUUCCCUAGUUGAGGAGUGCAAACCUGUCUUCUGGACAAGAUGGGAUUCCUUGAUCUUGACCACACCUCUGUUGUCAUCUUUUAAUUAAUAAGAGCUUCUGGGGGGGGGGGAAGCCAGUUUAAGUUAUGAAAAGCAUUGCAUGUCUUGUGAUUUAUUUACACACAUGGAGGCUUGAAAGCAACCCUGGAGGGUGAGUCUGAUUGUAUUCCCGGGACAGCAUUUCACAGCUGGCCCCCUUAUUUGAUGGUCAGUCAGAAUGAAAAGGGGAUCACAAAGCAGAAUUCACAACCUAACAUUGGAAGCCAUAAAGGAAGGCUUCAUGGAAAUGCAACAAACCAAUAGAAACCUACUUUAGAAGGCUGGUGUCUAAGUUCCCUGUCUGUGGCUAUUGCUGUACACCAGCCAUGUUGGGGGGUUUUGUAAAGGACAGAGAUUUAGGGGCUGGAGAAAUGUCUCAGGGAGUAAAGUGCUUGCCUAACAGUCCUGCAGACGAGUUUAGAUAGAUACCUAGUGCAGCCUACCACAUUACCACUGUUGGGAAGCUAGAGAUUGGGAGCGAGAUAGACAGACUGGCUCCGAGUGAGAGAGCCCACCCUAAUAUACAAUGUGGAGAACAUACAAUGUGGAGAACAAUCGCAGGAGAUACACGCUGUGAACGUCUCCUGUCAUUUGCAUGCGCACAGAGGAGCACACAGAGUCACACACACGUGUCACAGAAUAUAUAUCGACACAUGCCCAUGUGCACAUCAUAUACACUGGGAAGUUCAAACCCAUGGCACUGGCAUCUAUCUGCUCUGUGUGUGUGUGUGUGUGUGUGUGUGUGUGUGUGUGUGAUGUGACUCUCCAUCACAUGGAGAGACAGAUUACAUGUUAGUUCAGGCCUAUGAUAGAGUUACUUAUAAAUGGGGACAUUUCCCCCCACACUAUCCUGAUGAUGUUACAGAAGGACAAUUAACCACCCAAAAGCCCCCAAAUCAUCAUCAUUAACACAUCCAUGGAGGUGUGAGUUUGGGAGGCCACAUUCAACCUGUGGCGCCUGGAAGAGAUUAAUUGCAAAUUUCACCUGCACUGGAUGACUGGAGUUGGGGUCUACACAUCUCUGUAGCUUCUUCUAGUUUGACAGGAAGAAGCAUAUAGCCGGAGCCUCCACGCAGCAAAGGAUCCAGACGACAAUGUUGGGAAGUGUUGACAACUUGGGCCUUUGCUUCUGUCCCUGUGGAAAAGAAUCAGAGGUAACAAAGGGCUAGAAGUCAAGGUGGAGAGGGAAGAAAGACCAGACUCCCCCAAUCCAAUCCGUUUUGCACUUUUUACCUGCCCAGUGCUGACACACAGGCAUAGGAACCCUUCUGAACCUACAGGUGCUGUGUCACUUCCCUUCUUUGUAGUGGGAGGAAUAUGGGCCUCUGUAGGUACCUGAUCCAAGUACUGUUUAAGGGUAACUACAAGCUUAGUCAGGUGUGCUGCACUGUGUGUGUGUGUGUGUGUGUGUGUUCAGUGUACAUGCACAUGUGUUGGGCAUGUGUAUGUCAGAUGUCAACCUCUCCUCUUCUUUAAGUCCUCUCACUUUUUCUUCUCUUUGAGACAGAUGUCUUGGUAACUUAGAAUUUACCACUAGCUAAACUAGGCUGGCUAGCCAGUAAGCCCUAGGGGUCUGCCUGUCUCUGUUUCUCUAGAGCUAGGGCCAUAAAUACAUGCCACCAUGCCUUGUGUUUUUUUUAAAUGCAUGCAUUCUGGACAAGUGUUGGGCACAGGUCCUUGCACUUUCAAGGCAAGUACUUUCCUGACUAAGCAUCUCUCCAGCACAAAAGGUUAGAAUUGAGUCUGACUCUGUAGUAUCAGAAUCAAUCCGGAUGCUCUCAGUCUUUAUGCUUUCCCUGGUCCCACAGACAGUCACAUAGAAGGGCAGCUGUUAUCUGAAGACCUCUCAAGCUUCCGGGCCCUCCUCUUCCUAAAGACUGAUGCUGUAGUCCUAUUAAAAGGAUCUAGCUUAUCCGAGGAGGGGAAAAGACUGAGACUGCAGACUGCUUCUGGACCAUGGUUCCUGCUGUGCCCACUACUGUCCUCACAUCCCCGAUACAGUCCUCACAGGAAAGAACUACCUGCCACCAAGGACAACCAGCUCUGGGAAUAAGAAAGACCCCCGCUGUUAGCCCUCAAACCAUCUCCUCAUGCUGUGGUCUCCUUUAAGGAUACAUCUCUGGACCUUAUCCUCAUUCAUAACUCCACGUAAUCGUGCAGGCACAAUGUAAAUAAAUGCACACAUGUGUGUAAAUACACACCGAGGAUGAGGAUUCGAGCACAUGUAUAUGGAUAGAAAAACUAAUCUGUGGACAUAAACACAGAUAUUUAGAGUUCGGUUUGGCACUGUGACCGUCUAGCAACAGAACAGCAGGAAGUUUUCACUGGAGCCUGAGUUCCUCAGCUGUGCGCAUUUAACUGGGUCCAUGAUUCCUAAGAACAAGAGGCUGGGACUGGAGAGACAGCUAAGCUACUAGAGGCCAGGCUCACCAUCCAAACAAAGAAAUGCUUUCAGCUAGAUGGCUAGCAGAAGACCUCGUUUCUUUGUGUUGACUCGGAUCGUUCCUACAGCUGGAGGAAAUGGCUCUGACGUAUAGAGGGUUAGUGCUGCUUUGCAGGCUUGGCCAACUGGGCUGUUCCUGCUCAAAAUGGAGCAGAAAGGCUAACUACCAAUGGCUUUAAGACACGGUACUCAGCAAAGAUGAGAGAGAGGUCUGAGGAGUCCUGUCACACAAGCAGGGACACUCAGCUCCUCUUAGUGAGCUACGAAGCAGAUCGCUGCCAUUUAAAAAUUUUUAUUUUUUUAAUCAGUCAAACACAUUUUCCACAUUUUAUUGAAUGCACAGUUCGAGUGACCAAAAGCCCUAAUUGGGUGGCCUUACUUGUCUGCUCCUAAGGGCUUCUCUGAGCUACAAUGCAACAAAAGGGCAAAGCAAAAGUGACCUUUUCUUGUAAGAAACUAUUGUCUUGAGAACUUAUUUCAUGAGGCAAAAGACAAAAACAUUAAUUUCCUUGGAGGGUGAUGCCCCCACAAUGACUUAACCACAUUCUAGAAGACCCCACCUCUUCAAUGUCCCACCACCUCUCAAUGUUGUGACUACCAAGUUUCCAAUUCAUAGCCUUAGAGGACACAGCCAAACCACACCACCCACAACUCAAGAGUCAAUGGUGGCAUGGUAGCCAUUGUAAAUUUGUCACUUAAAGGCCAACUGGUGCCAGGAUGAUAUCUUUGAACUAAGAAUCCCUUGAGCAUAAAGCAUAAUUUAUUUGCUCCAAGUGUGAGAAAUGGGAGAGUUGUUUGUUCCCAGCCACACCCCUAAAACACAAAAAUUCAGUGGAACAGAGGUACAAAGGUAUAGACAUCAUUGAUAAUAGAGUUUCAAGUAGAGGCAGCCAUUGCUGCAAGAUGGAGAUUAGCACAACUUCGACAUAAUGGAGAUUAAAAGUCAUGGCUAAGGAUCAGGAUGCCUUGGCUUGAAUUUCAUUCAGAUCCACAGACAAGUUGCAGCAGUUUCUGGAAAAUUCUCUACAGCUCUCUAAACCUCUGUUAACUCCUUUCCAAGGUAGGCUUACUUAGUAUUGGAGGGAUGAAUGAAGUAAUGUUUAUAGGAUUCUUGCAAAGGGGGAUGGAGAGAUGGCUCAGCGGUUAAGAGCACUGACUGCUCUUCCAGAGGUCCUGAGUUCAAAUCCCAGCUACCACAUGGUGGCUCACAACCAUCUGUAAUGGGAUCUGAUGCCCUCUUCCGGUGUGUCUAAAGACAGCUACAAUGUACCCAUAUAAAUAAAAUAAAAUAUAAAUAAAAUAAAAUAUAAAUAAAAUAAAGAUUUAAAAAAAUCUUGCAAGGACACGUAGCCAUUUCUCUUGUUUUUAAUGUUAUUAACACCAUCUAGCUUCGAGGGUCUCAAAAGCAACCCGUUCCAUUGGCCUGAAGGAAAGUGAACAGAGACACAGGAAAUAAAUGUCAUCCUUUUAAUGGUUCUUGACAUUGUACAUCUAUUCCAGCCUACACCACAGAGCAUCCUUUGCCCUUUCAGUUCAACAUAAGGAGAGUGCAGAGGGAAGAUCCUGCAAUCAGUGGGCAUCAGAGCAGUCAGCGUCACUUAACCACACAACAGCACUGAACCAAGGCAACAUCUGCCCAAGACAGAUCCUUCCAAAUCACUUGUAACUUAAGCUCGAAUCCCAACAGGUAUUCAGUGUGAUGGUGUGCGCACUUUAGUUCCCCCUUUAAAAUGAGGUCUAGCCCAUGUGCUUGGGAAGAAUGGUGCUUCAUUCUGCUGUGAAUUGUAACAAGCCUAUGGGACAUUCCAUCAAAGGAUGAUUGGGGUUAUCCAGAUGGUCAGGAAACUGUUAUUCAGCAUUUCUUUGGAAACAAAAUGACACUAUCUGUGUCUUAAAAAUGGAGACUUGGGGGCUGGAGACAUGGCUCAGUGGUUAAGAGCACUGACUGCUCUUCCAGAGGUCCUGAGUUCAAUUUCCAGCAACCACAUGGUGGCUGACAACCAUCUGUAAUGGGAUCUGACACUCUUUUUUGGUGUGUCUAAAGACAGCUACAGGACACUCAUACAAAUAAAAGUAAAUAAAUAUUUACUUCUGCGGUCACAUUUGAUUUGUAUUUUUUAAAAAUAUGGGACCUCCUAUUUGCUUAAGAGAAGGUAGAGCUGAGGAAACCAUCACAGGCAGAGUCGGGGUGGUUGAGCAUACGGCGCCUUGAACUUAGGAAACCAGAUGUAAGGAGAUGUUGGUCUCAUCUUCACACCUGCAGAGCGUCGUCAUGGGUACGCUCCAUAGGAUUCCUGUGUGAACUGUACUUGGAUGCCAGAUGGGUUUCUUUCCUGAGCCAAGUCCUUUUCCUUCUACGUCAGUUUCCACACUUGCCCUGUGUGUCUGCCCAUGUUGGUCUAUUUUCAGCCUUGUCAUAGCCGAGAUCAGUGCUGCUGUCAGCAGAACCUUGUGGAAAACCCAGGGAUGUCAUGCCCCUGCUUCAACUUGCUUUCCAUCAAGGGGAUGGAAGGAGUUAUACUGGAGAUCCUGGUACUUGGAUAAUCACAAUUGAAAUGGGGCUCUCUAUCCAUCAGUAUAAAGCUUGGUGCCUCACACCCUAGUCCUUGGUCUGAACAUCUCCCUCAUUUUACUCUCCUUGGUAUCUAUCUAUCUAUCUAUCUAUCUAUCUAUCUAUCUAUCUAUCUAUCUAUCUAUCUAUCUAUGGGGGAAGGGAAGAGACUCUUGUUUCCCAAGCUGUCCCUAGAUACACUGUGUAGUAGAUGAUGAUCUUGGACUCUAUUCUCUCUCACCCACUUCCCAGGAGCUGGGAUGGUAGGCAUACAUUAUCAUGACUGGCUUGUGUGGUGCUGGGGAUGGAAGCUGGGAUUGUUGUGCAUACUAGGUGAGCAUUCCUUAAACGUCUCCCUGCACUCUGUUAGCUGAUUUUUGAGCCCUCCAGGCUUGGCCUGCUCAUUAAUGUUCUCUCCUCUCAGAGAGUGCAUCUCCAAAACAGUGGUGAACUUAAACCUUUCUCCCAUUACCUUCUUGCUGAGGAUGGUGGGAUGCUCCACAUGAAAAUAGAAUCCAUUCUCCCGACACUCCCAGAGCUUACCAAUUUUAUUUCUCAUAUAUCAUUUAUCAUCAUCUAGCAUAAUGCAUUUUCUUUGUAACCCAGGCUGCUAUGAAACUCACUACGUAGCUGAAAAGAAUGCUGAAUUUCUGAUUCUCCUGAGUGUCAGGAUCACAGGCAAAUACAAUAACGCCUGUUGAUGCAGUGUUUGGGGUGACACCUAGAGCUUUGCUCACGCCAGGCAAGAACUUCUAAGCUACACAGCUAGCCUCCAAAUACUAUUUCAGGUGAACUUUGGACUUCUCAGUCUCAACAUGGAAAAGGCACUUGUAGGUAGCUCUCAGAUCGCAAAUCCUGCCCUCCCCCAUCUAUUCUUUUUCUUCCCGUGCCUUAAAGCUCACCUUCCUGUUCUAAAGAGGAGGCGCAGAGGCUGAUUUCCAUAGAGCAAGGGGGAUAGUAAGGGGUACAAACAAGCCAUGCUUCAGAACCAAGACAUUUGCUAGAUAGUGGGUAGGAGAAGAGAGGGUGGCAUUAGAAGUCCCUUUCCCAUGGCUGGAGAUUGCCAGGAAGCCCUUGAUGCACAGGACACUGGGCCACAGCUGCUAUUUCUUCUCCUGGGCCAUGCCUCGGGAUGCAUUACAGCUGUGGCUGAUGGAAAGCAGAUGUUUCACCAUGUGGGGGGAAAUCUUCUUGAAGUGUGCCAUGGGGCACACAGACAGACACCCUUCCCUUUCUUCCCCCUCUCAAAAACUAGUCAAGGAGGGAAAAUUACACCCCAGUAACCCUGCGAGAGAACUUACUGCAACAGGUUGAAAUCUCAUAGUUUAAGGAUUUGUGUAAUUUUAACUGAAAAAAAAACAUAGGUAAUAUGGUUUAAAGUUAAAUUCAGUCAAUUGGACAGUUCAGGAACUUUUUUCGUGUCAACUUCUAUUACUGCUGUUAGAAGACUCUUUGUCUCUGAUUCCUCAUGCUAGUCCUCCUUGUCACACCCAUUCUCUGAACUCUUUCUUCUCCUUUCUCUAUUUUUACCACAGCCUUUUGAAUUGUUCCCCAAUUCCCCCUUUCCCAUGCAAGCCAUUGUAUGAUUUGUUGCUGAUUAAUCCUCAUGCCAUUCUAGUCUUCAAAGAAAAAAAUUCUCAGGUCUGAGGA